UAUCUCAGCACUAUUUGUUGAACAGGGUGUCCUUUCCUCAUUUUGUUUUUGUUUGCUUUGUCAAAGAUCAGUUGGCUGUAAGUAUUUGGCUUUAUUUCUGGGUUCUCUAUUCUGUUCCAUUGGUAUAUGUGCCUAGUUUUAUACCAGUACCAUGCCGUUUUGGUGACUAUGGCCUUAUAGUACGGUUUCAAGUCAGGCCGGAGCAUGUAAUUGCUGGAGUGGGAUCCUUCAUGGAUUUCUCUUAUCCUGGCAUUGACAAUGAUAGAAGAGGAGGCCCCUCCUUCUACCUGGGUAACUGUGAUUAACAGACACAGAAUGGACGUGUGCUGAGAAAGAAAUCGUUGCUAUGUUAAGGUAAAAAUCGGUAGCAAAUUCACUCAGAUUCAGAAGGAAGAACAGAAGCUUCAUCUCUCAAUGAGAGGAUUGCCCUAUCAGUACUUCCAAAAGUGAAAAUGGGAACUGCAUUAAAAGACAAGUAAGAUACCCUUCCAUUUUUUCUUACAGUAGGAUAUUUUCCUCCUUUAUUGCAAUAAAAGACUGGUUUAUUCUCUGGAAAGAGUAAAAUGUCUGUUCCUGUGUCUGCAAAACACCUGAUGGAGUUGAGAUCAAAGGUAUGAAAGGGAAACUAGGCAUUAGGAAGUGUAUGUAUACUGGGUGCUAAUAGUCCCCAGUCCUCCUUUCCCCUUAACCCACAGAACACAGGUACCAGUCUACCCUCUGGGCA
rnacentral:lncRNA from 10 species